rnacentral:misc_RNA from 1 species
GAAACGCGAUAGUUAAUGUGAAUUGCAGAAUUCAGUGAAUCAUCGAGUCUUUGAACGCACAUUGCGCCCAUAGGUAUUCCUUUGGGCAUGUCUGUUUGAGCGUCAUUACAACCCUCAGCUAACCGCUGGUUUUGAACCUGAACGGGUGACACCGCGCCGGUUUUAAAGUUGUAAGCUCUGCUGGCCGCUCUGCCCAACCAGAACAUAGUAAGCACUACUUGUCCUGGUGAAGCUGAACGGUACGGCCUGAACAAAACCUACCCACUCUCAAGGUUUGACCUCAGAUCAGACAAGGAUACCCGCUGAACUUAAGC